UAAACACCAGUUCCCAUAUGAUCACCAAAGUUAAUCAACAUUGAGCUUGGUCUUUAUCUAGAUGGGUGACUGGUUGGGAAUACCAGGUGCUGUG